AUUUGCUCUCUUCUGGGUAAAAUAAUGCAGUAUUUAUUUUUCGUCUCGAAAUCCAGUAAUAUCCAGUGAGUAAGUGCAUUCUCAGGCAGUUCAGUUCGAUAAAAUCGCCGCGAGUUUGUCCUUCUGUCGUGCUUCCCUCCAUGGCGGUGUAAAGGGCGCCCGGACUCGAAGGCGGUGUUUUUUAAAAAAAGCUUUUCUCAAGACGUUUCAGAAGCAUUUAUGAUAAAUAAUACACAAUCUGUGUGAUAUUUAUAAACCGAAGGAUAAUAAAAAAUCGCCGAUUAGUGGAGAAUAAUUAAUUAAUUCCACCGUGUCGUUGCGACAAAAGGUCCAAGAACGAGCACGGUCAUCGCGUCAACUCAGUGCGAUAUCUCGACGUCGCUUGUCCUUGUCCUGGUGCUCCGGUGCGCGAGGCUCUUCACUUGGAAUAUCAUGCAAGAAGAAAAGGCUGAAAAUAAUCAAGAGAUUACUUUUCACAUGGACAAACACAUGGUUGAAAUUGGUAUCGGAUCUAAGGAGAGGGAGAUGGAGGCCGAAUCGAAGACGACAAAGGAGAAUCCACCAGUGUCAAAAGUUGGAGAAGACUUGCAAGGACCAGCGAAGGAGGCGAUCGUUUCAGAGAAAGGGCAGCGCGUCGAUCGAAAUGCUGUACGAGAAACGAAGGAUGACGUAAACAAUGGAGAUGAAGGAAGAAAAGAUACUUGCGAAGAGGAAACGUUGUGCGACGAUAUGACUGCUGCAGCAAAAGAGCUCAAUAUUUCUGUGGAAGAGCUGGAGAAACUUUUAAAAAAGUACGUUGAGGAACAGAUGCAGCAGGAAACGCUAUUACAGGAGAGGGUUCCAGACCUGCGUGAGCGAGUGCAACGGCAGGAGGCAAAAGAUAUUGCUGUUUCGAAGAUGUUUGAAGAUAUUAUGAGAGUGAAUGGUUUUACGGUGGCCGCAGUGUAUAUCCUGCCACCAAGCUCUUGAAUAAAAAAAAUAAGUCACCGAACUGCAGGAGGACGUCUGCAGACACAGUUGGGCUCCAGGUAUGGAUGGCCAUUGGCUCAGAAGGCGCUCCUCUGCCCUUUGACAGGUUUAAAAAAAAAAAAAUCCUGCAGGCUGUCCAUAUCCAUACACCCUCUUCACCAGGAAAUCUGGUGGGGGAGAUUGUUUAGUUGCCGACGUCCUGACCAUGAAACAGGUUGGUACAUGAUACCUGUAGCAAGUCUCAGAUCUGAUCUGGCCUGACCUGGCAAUAGGUAUUUAUUUGGUAUUUCAUGGCAGAAAUGAAGAUCUGGACUUGCACGCACACACCAUCUCGUUUUUUUUUCCGUUUCUGUUCCUCACAAUUCGCACACAUGCAUCGAUACAUGCCUGAUGCGUUUUAUCAAUAGAACAGUUUCGGCUUUUCCUAAAAUAAAAUUUUAAGGAUUGCUGAAAAUGAUGCUUAAUUUCACAACAUCCUAUAUUCAACUUGAUUUCAGUUGAAAACCUCAAAACAACCUUGACUUGUUUCCCGAUUGCCCAGAUCAUCAGCUUGACACCGUUCUUCCUCAAGGUUUCAAUCUUUUAAAUCUAGAACCUCUCCAAAUGGCACAUCCACAACCUCAGACAUGGAUCCACAUCAGUAGAUCUACAUCAAUAUAUCCACAACUUCAGUUGCAUCCAGGCAGUCGGUCAACCCAUCAAUGCAACAUCACUAUUCAAACUUUACUCGCUCGAGGAUUGAAUAUUAUCACAUGGUUACAACUCCCAUCACACAUUCCAUGAUAUGAUAUGAUAUUACAUUAAAUCAUGCACAUUUUACCUUAAAUAUAACAUGCCCACCAACCAGCACGACCACCUCACUUGCCUCUGGAUCAAACUUAUUUAUAACUGAUUUACCAAAAUGCUGCAGUGUCCCAGCAACCACUGAAAAUGGUUACUAUAUACAUAUAUGCACACCAGCACCCCUUGGGUGGGUCGAGUUAGUGCACCACUUGUGGAAAGAAAGUAUAGUCUGUUUUGUGUGGUGUGUGCUUAAAAGGUUCUACUGUAGAUGGUCUAAGAGGUCUAAAGUAUACGUUCCAAUCGUAGUUUGUGUCCAACGGUUCGAAAGGGUCUAAUCUCUCAAGUAUGUAAAAAGGGUCUAAAAAUGGUCAAGGUUCCAAGCUCUGUAAUCUGUAUAAAUGGUGUAAAGGUCGAAAGAUUCUCGUGGUUAAAGGGUAUAAAAGGUCAAAAUGGUGAUGUGUUGAAGGAGUCUUGGGGGUCUCAAGGGGCCUCAACAUUCUAAAGGGUCAAACGGUACAUUCCAACAGUACGUAAUUAAUAGACAUAUAGUCACACGGCUUCUCUGACUGCUUCACCGUGUUUUUCGUUUUUAGAUCCUCGUGGAGGAUCUCUAAGUCUUACUUACGUUGUUGUUCUUCUGAUUCUUCUUGUGGACUUUUUUGUUUCGCAGCCUACAGUUUUCAUCGAAACUUCCUGAAACUUGGUAUAUAUAUGUAAAAAUACCCCGCGCAGACAGUAACCAUCUCCGAUUUUGAAAAUUCCUCCCAGAAAAAAAGUUGUGACGUCAAAAUAUCUCCGCUAAAGGAAAUCGCCUAAAUAUUAUCUCCGAAACUAGGCAAGCUGUUUGAAUUCUGUUUGUGGGAAUCGAACAGGGCAUUAGCAGAGAUGAAUUACCGCACAUAUGAUCCCCCCCCCCCCCCCCCCCCCCCCCCCCCCCCCCCCCCCCCCCCCCCCCCCCCCCCCCCCUCACAACCCAGAGUUUUCAUCAGAUCUUCGUGAAACUUGCCAUGUAUAUGCAGAAAGCCCACGCGCAGGCAGUAACCAUCUCAGAUUUUGGAUAUUCUUCCUCGAAAAAAAAAAAAAAAGUUGACGUCAUAAUAUCGCCGCUGAUGGAAAUCACCUAUACUAUUAUCUCCGAAACUUGACAAGCUGUUUGAAUUUUGUUUGUGGGAAUCAAGCCGAGCAUUAGCACAGAUAAUUUAUCGCAAACCUGAAACAUCAUAAUGACGUCGUAUUCGUUUUUAUGACAUCAUUAAGAGGAUGAGGAUGUUAGCUCAUUUGAGCUUAUCUCUAUAUAUGCUGUAGAUAUUUUAAACAAUGUGUUUACUGCAAUGUUUAAUGAAUUAUAUUUUGGGUUGUCUGUGCGUCCAUCUGUGAUAGUUACUAUUCGUAUUGUAUUUCACGAAUUCUAUUUGGUGUCGUUUUAUGAUCUUGAAGAAAACUUGUUUUAAUCUGCUAACUGUGUAGCUCCUUGUGUUGGCAUACUUCUAACUUGUUGUUUGAAUCUACUGACAAGUUCAGUGCUGUGUGUGGUUGCUCUUGCGCAGUCCUAAUUAUUUCACCUGCAACUGUACCAUAGAAUAACUUCUUCGGAAUAUUGCUGUCUAAGAAAUGCAUUUGUCCAAUGUGGAAUGGAAAAUCGUCUCGUUUAUUAAAUAAUUUGGUGUGAAAUUUAUUAUUAUUUAAUUCGAUUUGUAAUUCCGAGUUUGUUUGUUUUUCCUUUUUCAAUUCGAGUUCUUUUGGAUGUAUACCUUCACAAAGCUGAUCAAAUAUAAAUCAUCAACGAAUCUAAAGAGGUUUGCACAUCUUCUCGCAGUUAGUUUAUUCCAGCACAUGUUAUUGACCCAAUCGGAGAGAGUAACGUGGGUAGAGUUUGAAAAGGCAAAGGAUUUACCUUGCGUAUCUUUUCAUGGUUGCUUUGUGCAGCUUUUGUUGGCUAGAAGAGCAUGGGAGGAGUUAAUUUUAUAUUUACCUCUGCCACCUAAGGUGGAUGGAGGUUGUGUUUUCACCUUUCUGUUUGUCUGUUUAUAGGAUAUCUCAGAAAGUUGUGGACAGGUUGGGUGUGUGAUGAGGACGAAGUGAUUAGAUUUUGGUGAAAAUCCAAAUCCGUAUGAGAAUUUUUUUUUUUAAGUGAUUUUGCACCAUGGAGAUGUGAUGCCAAAAACGAUGCAUAGAACGAUAUCUCAAACUUUUGAACGGAUUCGGAUGAAACUUGGUGAACAUUGAAGAAUUGAUUCUGUUUUUGGUGAAAAUCCAAAUCCGUGUACGAGAAUGCUUGUAAGUGAUUCUACACCAUUGAGUGAUGGGGCCAAAAAUGAUCCAGAGCAUGAUAUCUGGACAUGUUGGGUGUGUGACAAGAACAAAUGUAUUCGAUUUUGAUCCAGAUCCAGAACCGGCCUAUCGGUGAGAUACAAAACAUAAACCGUUAAGCCUGGCGGAGGUACGUGCUCGACCGAGUGCCAUUUGAGUUAUAUGACACACACACACACACACACACACACACACACACCCCCCCCCCCCCCCCCCCCCCCCCCCCCCCCCCCCCCCCCCCCCCCCCCCCCCCCC
rnacentral:lncRNA from 1 species